CCUACGGGGGGCAGCAGUGGGGAAUAUUGGACAAUGGGGGGAACCCUGAUCCAGCCAUGCCGCGUGUGUGAGGAAGGCCAUAUGGUUGUAAAGCACUUUAAGCGAGGAGGAGGCUACUUUAGUUAAUACCUAGAGAUAGUGACGUUACUCGCAGAAUAAGCACCGGCUAACUCUGUGCCAGCAGCCGCGGUAAUACAGAGGGUGCGAGCGUUAAUCGGAUUUACUGGGCGUAAAGCGUGCGUAGGCGGCUUAUUAAGUCGGAUGUGAAGUCCCCGAGCUUAACUUGGGAAUUGCAUUCGAUACUGGUGAGCUAGAGUAUGGGAGAGGAUGGUAGAAUUCCAGGUGUAGCGGUGAAAUGCGUAGAGAUCUGGAGGAAUACCGAUGGCGAAGGCAGCCAUCUGGCCUAAUACUGACGCUGAGGUACGAAAGCAUGGGGAGCAAACAGGAUUAGAUACCCGCGUAGUC
rnacentral:rRNA from 1 species